rnacentral:rRNA from 1 species
UGUUCGACUCUCAGCAACGGAUAUCUAGACUCUCGCAUCGAUAAAGAACGUGGCGAAAUGCGAUACUUGGUGUGAAUUGCAGAAUCCCGUGAACCAUCGAGUCUUUGAACGCAAGUUGUGCCCGAGGCCUUCUAGCCGAGGGCACGCCUGCCUGGGCGUCACGC